AUUGAACGCUGGCGGCAGGCCUAACACAUGCAAGUCGAGCGGAUGAAGGGAGCUUGCUCCUGGAUUCAGCGGCGGACGGGUGAGUAAUGCCUAGGAAUCUGCCUGGUAGUGGGGGAUAACGUCCGGAAACGGGCGCUAAUACCGCAUACGUCCUGAGGGAGAAAGUGGGGGAUCUUCGGACCUCACGCUAUCAGAUGAGCCUAGGUCGGAUUAGCUAGUUGGUGGGGUAAAGGCCUACCAAGGCGACGAUCCGUAACUGGUCUGAGAGGAUGAUCAGUCACACUGGAACUGAGACACGGUCCAGACUCCUACGGUAGGCAGCAGUGUGGAAUAUUGGACAAUGGGCGGAAGCCUGAUCCAGCCAUGCCGCGUGUGUGAAGAAGGUCUUCGGAUUGUAAAGCACUUUAAGUUGGGAGGAAGGGCAGUAAGUUAAUACCUUGCUGUUUUGACGUUACCAACAGAAUAAGCACCGGCUAACUUCGUG
rnacentral:rRNA from 1 species